GAGAGUUCAAGAGUACGUGAAACUGUGUGGUGGUAAACGGAGGUGUUCUCGAAGUUUCCGUAGGGAACUCAGCCUUAAGGCGGGGCAGCCUGGUUGUGUCCGAUCAGCAAUGACGGCGCGGCUUUGUCGGCUCUGCCUGCGGGUGCAUUUCCCCUGCGGUUUACGGCAGGAACCCUUGAGAGUGGACCAAAGGCGUUGGGAGAAGUUAUAGGCCUAGCUUGUAGCCCCGGCUGUCCUGGCUUCACACUCGAGGGGUAUUGGAGGCGACUCGUAUAGCGAGCAAUGCUCUGUUGCGGUUGCCAUCUCUCUGCCGAGUAGGUUGGCGGCACCUCCGACCCGUCUUGAAACACGGA
rnacentral:rRNA from 1 species